rnacentral:lncRNA from 1 species
CCCUGACCUUCGUACCUCAAGUAACAGUUUUAAAACCUUGAAACUGUCCCAUUUGCUCUGCAAGUUGUACACGUUAGAGCAUUCCACUCUGACCUGGGCUAUGCUGGCAAGAGGCAUGUGAUGUUAACAUUUGCCAUAUGAAGUGAGGUGGCACCUGAAGAUCACAGAGGGGUUUACUGUGAGUUUUCCCUCCUGGGAGUUGCACUCCUUGGACAUGUCAAUGCUCCAGUGCUGUGUUCACUCUCAACCAAGUAGGAGUGGUAUGGAGAGCCCCAAGAGUCAGCUGCGUUGAAUCUACACGUUGUAGUUUUGUCAUUUUAUGUGACCUACAAACUACGUAGUGGAAGAGACCUGUCAUCCCGCAGCCUGGUUGGUUGGGCUUCAGAAAUAAGGUGGGGAAACAAAAACAUGUCUUACCUGUGUUUAUCUUCACUCUGGCAGUGUAAAGACAAAGUGGCAGCUGAUCCCCCCUGCUCUGCAGUUUAUGUCUUGAAUCAGUGUCUCUUACUAGAAAGAUAUGAAGGGGUAAUAAAUAAAAUGAGUGGAUUUGCCGUAAAAUAAGUGCUGUUCCUUGGAGCAGGUGCUGCUGAAGCAGUGCUCGGGGCAGGGACUGGUUUGAGCAGGAGGUGGCACUGCGGCUGCCCUUCCUGCCUCCUGUAGAGGGUCCCAGAGCCAUCCUUGCGCCAAAUAUGCCGGAUAUAAAACCCCUCCUUCACCUGCCAGUGCUUCCCAGGGAUGUGGAGAAAGGUUUUGACUCUGGCUGCAGUAUGAAGACAGUAGAGGGAGCUAGCAAGCUUUGCAAGGCUUGGGUCUGAGUAAGGUGCAAAUGCUGCUCCAUUGAAAUGUUAAGUCCUUUUGUGGGAAUCACUUUUCAUAUUUAUCCUGAAUCAAUUUCAGUUUUAAAAGCCUGUUGAUUAUUACUUUCUCACUGUACAGCAUUAACUUGCUAGGGGGAAAGCCAGCACUGCAGUGAGAUUUUAAUGGUUAAUAAAGACUAAUUGUUGUUUG